GUUACCUAUUUAUGCUGGCAUGGCAAAGAAAUGUAAUAUGUAAGAAAAGUGGCGUUUAAAUUCAUGCAAGUGGUGCUGCAUCUCAUAUAUGAAAUUGAAAACAGAUAUGAAAUUUUGCCGGUGAUUGUACUUCCUUUCUGAUUGUACGACUUAACAUCAAUCUAAUAAGGAUCAUCAGGUUGGAGCGAUAAACAUUAAGUAAUGGAAAAUCGCAUGUUUAACAUUGGUGUGAAUUUAUUCUCGUGGAAACUGACCAGAUGCAACGUCAGCGGAAUAGGCCAGUGGUAUAUAAAUACGAUUUAUAUAAAAUGUUUUAACAUUUUUAUAUUAAAAAAGUGUAAAAUAACAUAACAAAUAUACAUAAAAUUUAAAAAUAACAAAAUUAAAUGGAGGAAAUAACUAAAAUUAAUAUCUUGCAACUGGGAUUCACGAAACUAUGAUUUUCGCGCGGUGCCUUCAAAGGACGUUUUUUGGCCUCUGUCCAAGUUCGGCCGGAAGGUUACUUUGUAAUAUCAUAUUACUAAGUCUAUGUGUUAGUUCCAAUUUACAUUAGCGUCGCUCGCUGCUAUAUUUGAACAAAUUAAAAUUAGCAUAAUCGCGAUUUACCUGCUUUUAAAAUAUUCACGAUUGUUGGCUUAAAAUUAUAUUGGGAGUAAAAGAAAUAAGCAAACUUUACAUGUCGUAUGGAAGUGCAUGAAACAUAAAUGUUUUCUAACAAUCGUACUAAUUCAUCAAAGUUAUUAUGACGUAAACCAUCGUUACAUUAUGCACGGUGAACAUGUGUAAAACUUGCACCAAUGUUUUUUUAUGUAUUCAAUGUAUUUUUUUAUAACGUAAUAUUAGCUUUAAUUCACCACAUAAAGGUUCCAUGUGACAUAAUUUGUGUUUAAAUUAAUACGGCGGGUAUUUGGAAAAUGCAUUUUUCUUUAAAUUAAAAAAGUUUGCACACCCGUUUCGUCUUUUUUCUAUCCGCAGUGUUCUCGCAAGGUAAACGAUGCGGUUAAAAUAAAGCGCACGUUUAUGUCGUCAGUUGAUUCGGAACUAGGAAUCCAAAGAAUUUAUUGUCGGCUGGACGUAAGAAAGUUAAUUUUCUAAAGAUUAAUUAAAUUUUAUUACAUAAAAAUAACUCGCCGAUAAGCGUCAACGUGUAGAAUGACAUGUGUCAGGAGAAUGUUGCAUUGAAUAGAGGAAAACUUGGCUUAAUGUUCGUUCGGUUCAAACAAAGAGUAAAAAAAACUAAUUCCUUUGGUUCAAAUAACCCAGUGCGCAUUGUAGGGUUUAACGCAUUGCAUUUCAGUGUUGUUUACGAAACAAUGCCCUUUGACGCGUUGAUUGAAACUCGCAUAAUACGCAUUGUGCGUUAUUGGGUUAAAAUGCCUUAAACGAGCAUAGCUAAAUAGAAACAAAACGAAUAUGGCAAAAUAAAUAGGGGGCAUCGCGUAUAAGCUAUUUCUUCGUAAUUUUUAUAUGAAAACAGUAAAAAAACCGGGAGGCGGCGCCUUCCCGCCUCUCCGUAAGUGGGCGCCAGUGAUUGGUGUUCAUGGGAUUUUUCAUCAAAAAGUGUCACUUAAAUGUGAAAGUUACUAAACUACUAGAAAAAAUUCAAAUUUUAUUUUAGAAUUGGUAUAUUGAACGCUUUUUCUGUAUUAAUGUAUCAAAAGUUUUAAAACACAGACUUUAUUAUGUUUUAGUGUUUUGAAUAAAUAAGUCGUUAAUGGAGUUAUUGCGCCAUAAGGCAUACAUGUAUAUGAAUAUCUGUCUUAUUUACAAACGCGCGUGUCCGCGUUUGUUGAUUGGUGCUUUGCGAUAAGAUAGUGAGCGCAUCGACGCUGUGGCUUUGAUUGUGCCCUACAACUGCGAUUACGUUGUCAAUCUUUGUUAAUACGCAGUUUUGCAACAUUAUUUUGGCAGAAUAGACAGCCUAAAUGUUUUCCUCAGCCAAGCAGCAUGUUUAUUAGGAAUGUUGGUAAUGUUUUGUGAAUUUGGUGUUAACAAUAAGAAUGUGUUGAAGUUGUAAAAUCUCAGGUUCGCCGAGCGCCAAGAUUCGACCAAAAGCUCGGCACGAGCUUAUGGUGUCAUCAAGAAGAAAGGCGUACGAGAAUACGUUCCUUUUUG